rnacentral:rRNA from 1 species
CAGUAGCCACGGGAAUACAGAGGGUGCGAGCGUUAAUCGGAUUUACUGGGCGUAAAGCGUGCGUAGGCGGCUUUUUAAGUCGGAUGUGAAAUCCCUGAGCUUAACUUAGGAAUUGCAUUCGAUACUGGGAAGCUAGAGUAUGGUAGAGGAUGGUAGAAUUCCAGGUGUAGCGGUGAAAUGCGUAGAGAUCUGGAGGAAUACCGAUGGCGAAGGCAGCCAUCUGGCCUAAUACUGACGCUGAGGUACGAAAGCAUGGGGAGCAAACAGGAUUAGAUACCCCGGUAGUCCCUGUCUCUUAUAC